rnacentral:tRNA from 1 species
GCGGGUGUAGCUCAGUUGGUUAGAGCGCGGGCCUGUCACGCCCGAGGUCGCGGGUUCGAGCCCCGUCACUCGCGCCA